rnacentral:rRNA from 1 species
GACGAACGCUGGCGGCGUGCCUAAUACAUGCAAGUCGAACGCACUCUCGUUUAGAUUGAAGGAGUUUGCUCCUGAUUGAUAAACAUUUGAGUGAGUGGCGGACGGGUGAGUAACACGUGGGUAACCUGCCCUAAAGUGGGGGAUAACAUUUGGAAACAGAUGCUAAUACCGCAUAAAACCUAACACCGCAUGGUGUAGGGUUGAAAGAUGGUUUCGGCUAUCACUUUAGGAUGGACCCGCGGUGCAUUAGUUAGUUGGUGAGGUAAAGGCUCACCAAGACCGCGAUGCAUAGCCGACCUGAGAGGGUAAUCGGCCACACUGGGACUGAGACACGGCCCAGACUCCUACGGGAGGCAGCAGUAGGGAAUCUUCCACAAUGGACGAAAGUAUGAUGGAGCAACGCCGCGUGAGUGAAGAAGGUUUUCGGAUCGUAAAACUCUGUUGUUGGAGAAGAAUGUAUCUGAUAGUAACUGAUCAGGUAGUGACGGUAUCAAACCAGAAAGCCACGGCUAACUACGUG